ensembl:lncRNA
CCUCUGCCUUGUGGGAUCCAAAAACAAAGUUCUGUGAGUUUGCUUCAUUUUUCCUGCUCUGGUCUCUGUAGUUACUGUCGCCAACCCCUUGCCUCCUGGACAGAUCUCCCGUCUCCUGAGAGGUCCCCACCAGAACGUCUUUAUAUGACAACUGCCCUACUGAUUGACUUGGACCUGAGGCAGGUUCUGUUCUGUUCUGAUCUUUUCUCUUAGAUGUCUUCUCAGGCACCUCCUGUGUUACUGAGGGAGCUGGACUAGUAGAUUGUUUUUGACUAGUGUUUGGCUCAUCUGUUGGGUCAGAACCCCUCUGAUCACCAAGGGAUACUUGGGAUUGGUCAACACACUUCUUUGAGUUUGCUUCAUUUGUUAUAUUCUCGUCGGUCUGGUUACUAGAGGUCUUCAGUUCAUUCAGAACUCUAACCUCUGUGUUGCCUUCACCAUCAAGGCUUUUUGAUGGCUCCGUUGACCCGUGUGACGUCCCCUUCAGGUCUUCCUCAUCCAAGAGUUUACUGGCUGGUUGAGUUGGGUCUGAGGCACGUCCUCCUGUGUUCUGAUCAGCUGUCUCGGGUGUGGAUGAGGCCUGUGUGACUGAUGUAGGACUAGGUUGGUUUGGCUCAUUCACUGGUGCGUCUACGUUUGCCUUCGAUGGACCCUUGGCCUGGUCUUCUGGCAGUGUCUGGUGUGGGGAUGGGUUUGGAGAGGCUAUAGGUAUGGUUGGAGGGCCAGUAGGUGUGGCGGUGAUGACAGGAGGGCCAGUAGGUGUGGCAAUGUUGACAGGAGGGCCAGUAGGUGUGGUGGUGUUGACAGGAGGGCCAGUAGGUGUGGCAGUGUUGACAGGAGGGCCAGUAGGUGUGGCGGUGUUGACAGGAGGGCCAGUAGGUGUGGCGGUGUUGACAGGAGGGCCAGUAGGUGUGGCAGUGUUGACAGGAGGGCCAGUACGUGUAGUGGUGUUGACAGGAGGGUCAUCCACCACUGAAGUAGAGCUCUCACUGACAGACAACUCAUCUUUCUCUUGACGUGUGUCAGUGCUCAGCUCAAUAGCGCUGGAAGAGCCUCCACUCUAUGAACAAUGUAUACAAAAAUGAGGCCUUUUAACACAUAAAUCAUUAAGGAUCAGCAUUUCUGAUUCAUAAGCCCUGCCCAUUAAAGCGUUCCCAUUCCAUGCUAAUUUCACUGGGUUCCCUUGACUUAAAACCCACGUCUGGUCACAUCCUAACGUCACAAAUUGAAAGUGUGACUGGUUCUGUUUAAACAAAUAUAUAAUUGUAAAUCUCUUAUC